GACGAACGCUGGCGGCGUGCCUAAUACAUGCAAGUCGAGCGAAGUUUUUCUGGUGCUUGCCCUAGGAACACUUAGCGGCGAACGGGUGAGUAACACGUAAAGAACCUGCCUCAUAGACUGGGACAACUAUUGGAAACGAUAGCUAAUACCGGAUAACAGUAUUUCUCGCAUGAGAGAUAUUUAAAAGUUGGUUAUGCUAACACUAUGAGAUGGCUUUGCGGUGCAUUAGCUAGUUGGUGGGGUAAAGGCCCACCAAGGCGACGAUGCAUAGCCGACCUGAGAGGGUGAUCGGCCACACUGGGACUGAGACACGGCCCAGACUCCUACGGGAGGCAGCAGUAGGGAAUCUUCCGCAAUGGGCGAAAGCCUGACGGAGCAACGCCGCGUGAGUGAAGAAGGAUUUCGGUUCGUAAAGCUCUGUUGUUAGGGAAGAAUGGAUAUGUAGUAACUAUACAUGUAAGAGACGGUACCUAACCAGAAAGCCACGGCUAACUACGUG
rnacentral:rRNA from 1 species